GAAAAUUAAUCUGACACCGGGUCUGUUCUGCGCAUGCGCAGUGCGGGUCACGUGAUAUUCGUCGCGUCACAUCCGGAACAAACCGGUUUCUUUUCUCUUUUCUUCUUCUCUUUCUAAAGGGAGAACAAAAUUCAUCCUCAUCUUCUCUCAAGUGAUGUAAUGUUUUUCUUUCUUUUCUUCAUCUUCUUUCUCUCUUUUCUUUCUUUCUUUUGAGUUUUUUUGUGGUUCAUCUUCUCUCUUUCCCUCUCAUCAUCUUCAUCUCUGUCUUUCUCGCAUUUUUAAAAAUAUCAUUUCUUGUUUUUAGUAACAUUUUUUUUUUCUUUUUUAAAUUCUUCCUUUUGCCAAUUUUGUAUUUGGUAGAUCGUGUAUCUCUCUCUCUCUCUCUCUAUCUCCCUCUCUUUCUCUAAUUAUAGUCUCUCUUUCUCAUCAUCAUCAUCAUCCUCCCUCCUCACAAAAGUAACUGUAAUCGUUUUAAUGGGUGUUUCACUUUUGUAUUAUUUUAGCUAUGCAAGGAAGUGGAAAAGGAUUAAUCUUAUCCAUUGGUGUUAUUCAUUAAUUUACUACAGAUGAUGAAGAUUAUGAUUUUUGGUUUCAGUUUGUUUUUCAGUGUCACAGGCUUAAUUUAUUUAUUGGUUAAUUGAUUUCUCUUCGUCAAUGACAACAGGAUGACACAUGAAUUUUUCUCUUCAAACCAGGAGAGAGAAGUAGAGAGAGAGAGAGAGAGAGAGUAUAUUGAGAACAGAAUUCAUUAUAAAUCUACUUAGUAGGUUUUCCUAGAGUUUCUCCUUGCGUCUAAAUUUGAAUACAUAACAUUGUAUCAUGAACAACAGUUACACACCAGUUAGAUGUUCUAAAAAUAAUCGUCCCCGGCUAAUUAACUGAUAAUCUCUGGACAAUUUUAGACCAAAUAAGUCUCGUUGGGACCAAUUUGUAUUAUUCAUGGGAAGAUAAAAAUCUUUUAUCGAAAUGUGAUAACAGUUAUUCAACAAGAAAUAAUAAUCACAAAAGAUUAUUGUCCUUAUGAUUAUGGUUUUCAUAAUUAAUCAUCAAUAUUACCUGGCAAAAUUUACAUUGGAAAGCAAGUUAAUUAACAAUCAACUCGAUCGUCAAGCGUUUAAUGACGUUGGUAGAUAAACUUUAUUUCAAUCAAAGGAUUUGAUUAUCAAGAUAAAUUUAAUCAUCAUAGAAAAUUAAUCAGAUCGGAUAAAACAAGACAAUUAUGGUAAAGAUUAAUAUGUCAACAAAACCAUUUAUGGAAUUGCAGUUAAUUUGUAAAACAACACUGAACAUUUUAAUUGCUCAACA